GCUCAAUUUGGCAGAACAUACAAUGGAGUUUGAGUGAUACAGAGAAGAUAAGCAUGGCCCCUGUGCAAGAAUGACCUGCAAAUUUGUGAAGCUUUCCAUAUUUUU